UACGUAGGUGGCAAGCGUUGUCCGGAUUUAUUGGGUGUAAAGCGCGCGUAGGCGGUUUUUUAAGUCUGAUGUGAAAGCCCCCGGCUCAACCGGGGAAGGUCAUUGGAAACUGGGGAACUUGAGUGCAGAAGAGGAGAGUGGAAUUCCAUGUGUAGCGGUGAAAUGCGUAGAUAUAUGGAGGAACACCAGUGGCGAAGGCGACUCUCUGGUCUGUAACUGACGCUGAGGCUCGAAAGCGUGGGGAGCAAACAGG
rnacentral:rRNA from 1 species